GACGGAGGGGGCAAGCGUUGUCCGGACCCACUGGGCGUAAAGCGUGCGUAGGUGGUGCGAUGCGUCGGCGCUGAAAGCGCCCGGCUUAACCGGGCGACGGGCGACGAUACGAUCGCACUGGAGGCAGGGAGACGUUGGUGGAAUUCCGGGUGUAGUGGUGAAAUGCGUAGAGCUCCGGAGGAAUGCCGGUGGCGUAGGCGGCCAACGAGUCCUGACCUGACACUGAGGCACGAAAGCGUGGGGAGCAAACCGG
rnacentral:rRNA from 1 species